AUUGAACGCUGGCGGUAUGCUUUACACAUGCAAGUCGAACGGUAGAGGGGCAACCCUUGAGAGUGGCGAACGGGUGAGUAAUACAUCGGAACGUGCCCAGUCGUGGGGGAUAACGUAGCGAAAGCUACGCUAAUACCGCAUACGACCUGAGGGUGAAAGCGGGGGACCUGCAAGGGCCUCGCGCGAUUGGAGCGGCCGAUGGCAGAUUAGGUAGUUGGUGAGGUAAAGGCUCACCAAGCCGACGAUCUGUAGCUGGUCUGAGAGGACGACCAGCCACACUGGGACUGAGACCCGGCCCAGACUCCUACGGGAGGCAGCAGUGGGGAAUUUUGGACAAUGGGCGCAAGCCUGAUCCAGCCAUACCGCGUGCAGGAAGAAGGCCUUCGGGUUGUAAACUGCUUUUGUCAGGGAAGAAAUCUUCUGGGCUAAUACCCUGGGAGGAUGACGGUACCUGAAGAAUAAGCACCGGCUAACUACGUGCCAGCCGCCGCCGUAAUAC
rnacentral:rRNA from 1 species